CUCUUUCUCUGAUUCUGUCGUUGAUUUCCAUUAUCUUCUCGUCCUGCAAAAAUGGCAGCUUCUUCUAAAAUUAAAGGUGUUGUCAUAAUAAUGGUGUUGCUAAUUGUCAAUAUCACUUCUCAAGCUUCCUGUGCCAGGCUCUUAGUAGAUGGUUCUCUCUCAACUUCUGAACAACGCAUCGUUCUCCCCGAAGUAGGGAUAAUUAGCCCAACAGAGGAGCAACUAAUUGGCAAGUACCGGCCCUUGUUGCUAAAUCUCCUCCCCAGGGGUCCUGUGCCCCCCUCUGGCCCCAGCAAACGGACCAACAAUUCUGUUAACUGAUUUGUUUAUUAAUUUUUCAUUAUUUUUUAGCCGU
rnacentral:misc_RNA from 1 species